rnacentral:rRNA from 1 species
UACGUAGGGUGCAAGCGUUGUCCGGAAUUAUUGGGCGUAAAGAGCUCGUAGGCGGCUUGUCACGUCGGCUGUGAAAACCUGGGGCUCAACCCCGGGCCUGCAGCCGAUACGGGCAAGCUAGAAUUCGGUAGGGGAGACUGGAAUUCCUGGUGUAGCGGUGAAAUGCGCAGAUAUCAGGAAGAACACCCGUGGCGAAGGCGGCUCUCUGGGACGGUACUGACGCUGAGACGCGAAAGCGUGGGGAGCGAACAGG